rnacentral:snRNA from 1 species
GGAUGUGAGGGCGAUCUGGCUACGACAUCUGUCACCCCAUUGAUCGCCAGGGUUGAUUCGGCUGAUCUGGCUGGCUAGGCGGGUGUCCCCUUCCUCCCUCACUGCUCCAUGUGCGUCCCCCCCGAAGCUGCGCGCUCGGUCGAAGAGGACGACCAUCCCCGAUAGAGGAGGACCAUUCUUCGGUCAAGGGUAUACGAGUAGCUGCGCUCCCCUGCUAGAACCUCCAAACAAGCUCUCAAUAACAACUGAGCAGGACUAGCUGUUCCUAAAGAGGCCCCAAUCAACACUUCAUCCUGAUCUGGAUUCUGUGGUU